rnacentral:rRNA from 1 species
AACGACUCUCGGCAACGGAUAUCUCGGCUCUCGCAUCGAUGAAGAACGUAGCGAAAUGCGAUACUUGGUGUGAAUUGCAGAAUCCCGUGAACCAUCGAGUCUUUGAACGCAAGUUGCGCCCGAAGCUUCCGGCCGAGGGCACGUCUGCCUGGGCGUCACGC